rnacentral:lncRNA from 1 species
AUCUGUGUCUCCAAUCUAAUAAAACCCACUGACUUACCCUGCAAUCUUUACUGAUUGCCCUGUUGCUGUGAGGUUGUGUUUCCCAAAACAGGCAGAGAUGUUGCAAUACACCAUGAUGAAACAUCUGGAAAUUGAAAAGCAACUACUGCAGGUGAGAUGCACCUUGCUUCCCUCUCUAUUGGGUGUGGGGAGAAUUAAGCUCCUAGAAUGAACAUCACAAAGCCAGAAUUACAGGUGAUAACUACUCUAAUCAGAGGGAAACACUAAGAGGAGAGAUGUAGGGAGUUUGGUGCUGUUUCAGGGCUGUAAAUAGGAGUUUUGGGGGAGCUAUUUGCAAAGGAUAUUUAUAUUUUAUUUUAAAUACCAGAAACAACUAAACACUGGGUUAUACAUCCAGAAUCUGCUAAGCUGUCUGUUUUUCCGGCCCCAUAAAUCUUGCAAACUUGAUGUAACAUUAGCAGGAGAGAUGAGAAGCAUUCACUUUCAGGCUACAGCUUCAUUUUUAGGGUGCCUUUCAAGCUUCUGCACUGAUUAGUUCAAAAGUUUGACAUUAUUUGUAGGAACUUGUUGACCACUGUGGUGGUCUUUGAAAAGAGUUUAUUCCAAGUGUGUUGGAUGAUAUCUGUGGGGUACUGCUGCAGAAUUAAGUACCAACAUGUCUCUUUUCUUGUCAUAAGGAGGAAAAUAGGUGUUGAUCACCCUGUUAUUAUUUACUUUAUCAUUUGUUGUUUGCAAUUCUGGUGAGCUAAGGAACAAUGGGUAGUGCAGACGUAGGUAAUAAAACCAAUUUAGCUCCAGAGAUCCCAGUGUGCAAAAAGAGAAGGAUGAGCAUGUCUGUAUGUUUGUGUGUGAUGUGGGAAUGGAUUUGGAAAAGAGAAGUAACACUGAAAGCAGUAACAUUGCAUUACAAGCCCUUCAGCCUGGAGACUGUAGAAACAUGGAACCUUUUGCUUCUCAGCUGCUGGAAUUUAACUUUAUUGUUGUUCAUUUCUAUUCCUUUAAUAAGGAAUCCUGAGUUGAACUCCUUGCAUGCUUACUGCACUCUGCCUUUGGCUGGCUUACUCAGGCUUUCCCUUGUAAACUCUGGAGUGAAUCAUUUAAUCUGCUGGACCGGAGUUAGAGAAACCCUGGAGCAGCUCAUUCAUUCACUGGCGAGGCUGCACUUCUGCUCUGCAGUGGCUGGGACAGCCUAUGCUUGCUCCUUGACUCAAAAGAAAAUGGAGGCAGUUGUCCUACAAGGGAAAGAAGCUUUGCUCUGCAGAGCUGAGGACAAACUGCACUGAGGCUCCAACCUGCCACGGCAGGAAACGGACAAUUGGGAAACCCAUGGCAUGACUGCUGCUGAGCUUAGGAUUGCUCAAAAAAUGCAUUCCACUUGUAUAGUAGAGCCAACAAAGCCAUGGGGUUAAGGAACAGGUAGGCUCCCUUUUCUCUAAAGCCAAGGUGCUAGUGAUGGAUCCAUAUAAAAAAAGCUAUGGAAAAACUGUUGCCUCACAUUACUUUAAUCCUCCAUAGUUAGUGCACAGUAACUUGAGUUUUGGGGUGGUUUAAACCAUCUAGAACAUCACCUUAUGGUGGCUUUACAGGACAAACAGGAUUAUUUUCUACUAGUGCAUUCACUUGCAGCUGGAAGCUUUCUGAAACUUUCUGAACAUAUUGUUUCUGUCUUGAAAAUACAUUUUUUUUUCCACAAAUAAAACUUUUGGAAAAAAAAAAAAGUGGGUUGUA